AGACCCGAAACCCGGUGAUCUAGCCAUGGGCAGGUUGAAGGUUGGGUAACACUAACUGGAGGACCGAACCGACUAAUGUUGAAAAAUUAGCGGAUGACCUGUGGCUGGGGGUGAAAGGCCAAUCAAACCGGGAGAUAGCUGGUUCUCCCCGAAAGCUAUUUAGGUAGCGCCUCGUGAAUUCAUCUCCGGGGGUAGAGCACUGUUUCGGCUAGGGGGCCAUCCCGGCUUACCAACCCGAUGCAAACUGCGAAUACCGGAGAAUGUUAUCACGGGAGACACACGGCGGGUGCUAACGUCCGUCGUGAAGAGGGAAACAACCCAGACCGCCAGCUAAGGUCCCAAAGUCAUGGUUAAGUGGGAAACGAUGUGGGAAGGCCCAGACAGCCAGGAUGUUGGCUUAGAAGCAGCCAUCAUUUAAAGAAAGCGUAAUAGCUCACUGGUCGAGUCGGCCUGCGCGGAAGAUGUAACGGGGCUAAACCAUGCACCGAAGCUGCGGCAGCGAACGUAUCACCCAAGACAACUUUGCGGAGUUGACGAUUGACGGAGCGAAGCGACGUCAAAGCGUUCAUUAAAGUCGAGUUGGCUUAGGGAUACGUUCGUUGGGUAGGGGAGCGUUCUGUAAGCCUGUGAAGGUGUGCUGUGAGGCAUGCUGGAGGUAUCAGAAGUGCGAAUGCUGACAUAAGUAACGAUAAAGCGGGUGAAAAGCCCGCUCGCCGGAAGACCAAGGGUUCCUGUCCAACGUUAAUCGGGGCAGGGUGAGUCGACCCCUAAGGCGAGGCCGAAAGGCGUAGUCGAUGGGAAACGGGUUAAUAUUCCCGUACUUGGUGUUACUGCGAAGGGGGGACGGAGAAGGCUAUGUUGGCCGGGCGACGGUUGUCCCGGUUUAAGCGUGUAGGUGUGUGUUCCAGGUAAAUCCGGUUCACUUUAACACUGAGGCGUGACGACGAGGCACUACGGUGCUGAAGCAACAAAUGCCCUGCUUCCAGGAAAAGCCUCUAAGCAUCAGGUAACAUCAAAUCGUACCCCAAACCGACACAGGUGGUCAGGUAGAGAAUACCAAGGCGCUUGAGAGAACUCGGGUGAAGGAACUAGGCAAAAUGGUGCCGUAACUUCGGGAGAAGGCACGCUGACACGUAGGUGAAGUGAUUUACUCAUGGAGCUGAAGUCAGUCGAAGAUACCAGCUGGCUGCAACUGUUUAUUAAAAACACAGCACUGUGCAAACACGAAAGUGGACGUAUACGGUGUGACGCCUGCCCGGUGCCGGAAGGUUAAUUGAUGGGGUCAGCGCAAGCGAAGCUCCUGAUCGAAGCCCCGGUAAACGGCGGCCGUAACUAUAACGGUCCUAAGGUAGCGAAAUUCCUUGUCGGGUAAGUUCCGACCUGCACGAAUGGCGUAAUGAUGGCCAGGCUGUCUCCACCCGAGACUCAGUGAAAUUGAACUCGCUGUGAAGAUGCAGUGUACCCGCGGCAAGACGGAAAGACCCCGUGAACCUUUACUAUAGCUUGACACUGAACAUUGAGCCUUGAUGUGUAG
rnacentral:rRNA from 1 species